UCAACCAAAACAUGUUUCGAAUGAAGACUAAAUGCCAAGUCCGAUCGUCAGCAGAGCGCGCACGUGAUUCGUGUAUUUGAAAAUGCAACCGUUAAUGAACGAAGUCGAGUCAAAGUGCUGGAUCGUGCAAUCGACGUCCGUAAUAACUUGUUCUCAGUUGACUGCCUGCCCUUUUUUGACAUGUCAAGACACUUCAGGUGACAUCAUCUGGGACAGUUGGAACAACUCUACGCUCCACAUUUAAUUCAGUGUCAAUCCUGAUUUCAUCAACAUGGACUGAUGGAACAAAAGUCAUGCAAAUAUGCUGUUUUGUGUAGUGGUGUCACAAGAUAAAGUACUUCCUUGAUGAGUUCAGAGAUGGAUGAUCAAUCAAACAUAGAAUAUGGUUUCUAGCAACCCUGCAGGUAUCCUUCAUACGCCAAUGAGAGUGCAUAAAGCUUGCACAUAUUAUAAACGGUAUCUGUGCUAUCCCCAAUAUAUAACAUUAGACCAAUUACAUUGCCAAAUUACAAUGGAG